GCUGGGCGUGGUGGCGCAUGCCUGUAGUCUCAGCUACUCAGGAAGCUGAGGCAGGAGAAUCACUUGAACCCAGGAGGCGGAGGUUGCAGUGAGCCGAGAUUGCGCCAUUGCACUCCACCCUGGGCAACAAAGUGAGACUCCGUCUCUA
rnacentral:SRP_RNA from 1 species